GACCUGGAGAUUGAGGGGAAGGGAGAGAGCAAACAAAGGGGUCAGGAGGGAAAAUAAUGCACUGGCUUCCUGAGCCCCUGCAGAGGCUGAGCAGGGAGAGGGGGCCAGGGCCAGAGGGGACAGAGGCUGGCGGCAGACAGGCCGGGGCAGGCAGGUCCUAAAUGGCAUUGUUUGAAGGGGCUGGCUAAUUGCACAGAGCAGUCUGAGCCUAAGACCCCAGCCCUGGCCCCCGCCUCUGUCCUGGGUGCUGGCGUCUGAGCCUUCGGGACAACCUGUCCACAUGGAACCAAGUCCUGAGCCUCCGAGCUUGGUGAGGGGGAGGCUAUGGGGGGCAGCCUGGGUGGGGUGCUUGGGCAAGAGCAUCACCCUAAGAAUGCAUCCUGGGGCCUUGGGCUGGGAACAUAGAGCCCAUGGCGGGGCGUCUGGGGGAACACUGCCCCUCUCGUGUCCCUGCUUCCCUUCCACCCCACCCGUUCUGGCUUCUCCCACAGGAAAGCAUGAAGGGAGACACCAGGCAUCUCAACGGAGAGGAGGACGCCGGCGGGAGGGAAGACUCGAUCCUCGUCAAUGGGGCCUGCAGCGACCAGUCCUCCGACUCGCCCCCGAUCCUGGAGGCCAUCCGCACCCCGGAGAUCAGAGGCCGAAGAUCAAGCUCGCGACUCUCCAAGAGGGAGGUGUCCAGUCUGCUAAGCUACACGCAGGACUUGACAGGCGAUGGCGAUGGGGAAGAUGGGGAUGGCUCUGACACCCCAGUGAUGCCAAAGCUCUUCCGGGAAACCAGGACUCGGUCAGAAAGCCCAGCUGUCCGAACUCGAAAUAACAACAGUGUCUCCAGCCGGGAGAGGCACAGGCCUUCCCCACGUUCCACCCGAGGCCGGCAGGGCCGCAACCAUGUGGACGAGUCUCCCGUGGAGUUCCCGGCUACCAGGUCCCUGAGACGGCGGGCAACAGCAUCGGCAGGAACGCCAUGGCCGUCCCCUGCCAGCUCUUACCUUACCAUCGACCUCACAGAUGACACAGAGGACACACGUGUGACGCCCCAGAGCAGCAGUACCCCCUAUGCCCGCCUAGCCCAGGACAGCCAGCAGGAGGGCAUGGAGUCCCCGCAGGUGGAGGCAGACAGUGGAGAUGGAGACAGUUCAGAGUAUCAGGAUGGGAAGGAGUUUGGAAUAGGGGACCUCGUGUGGGGAAAGAUCAAGGGCUUCUCCUGGUGGCCUGCCAUGGUGGUGUCUUGGAAGGCCACCUCUAAGCGACAGGCUAUGUCUGGCAUGCGGUGGGUCCAGUGGUUUGGCGAUGGCAAGUUUUCCGAGGUCUCUGCAGACAAACUGGUGGCACUGGGGCUGUUCAGCCAGCACUUUAAUUUGGCCACCUUCAAUAAGCUCGUCUCCUAUCGAAAAGCCAUGUACCAUGCUCUGGAGAAAGCUAGGGUGCGAGCUGGCAAGACCUUCCCCAGCAGCCCUGGAGACUCAUUGGAGGACCAGCUGAAGCCCAUGUUGGAGUGGGCCCACGGGGGCUUCAAGCCCACUGGGAUCGAGGGCCUCAAACCCAACAACACGCAACCAGUGGUUAAUAAGUCGAAGGUGCGUCGUGCAGGCAGUAGGAAAUUAGAAUCAAGGAAAUACGAGAACAAGACUCGAAGACGCACAGCUGACGACUCAGCCACCUCUGACUACUGCCCCGCACCCAAGCGCCUCAAGACAAAUUGCUAUAACAACGGCAAAGACCGAGGGGAUGAAGAUCAGAGCCGAGAACAAAUGGCUUCAGAUGUUGCCAACAACAAGAGCAGCCUGGAAGACGGCUGUUUGUCUUGUGGCAGGAAAAACCCCGUGUCCUUCCACCCUCUGUUUGAGGGGGGCCUCUGUCAGACAUGCCGGGAUCGCUUCCUUGAGCUGUUUUACAUGUAUGACGACGAUGGCUAUCAGUCUUACUGCACCGUGUGCUGCGAGGGCCGAGAGCUGCUGCUUUGUAGCAACACGAGCUGCUGCCGGUGCUUCUGUGUGGAGUGCCUGGAGGUGCUGGUGGGCACAGGCACAGCGGCCGAGGCCAAGCUUCAGGAGCCCUGGAGCUGCUACAUGUGUCUCCCGCAGCGCUGUCACGGCGUCCUGCGGCGCCGGAAGGACUGGAACGUGCGCCUGCAGGCCUUCUUCACCAGUGACACGGGGCUUGAAUACGAAGCCCCCAAGCUGUACCCUGCCAUUCCCGCAGCCCGAAGGCGGCCCAUUCGAGUCCUGUCAUUGUUUGAUGGCAUUGCGACAGGCUACCUAGUCCUCAAAGAGCUGGGCAUAAAGGUAGGAAAGUACGUCGCCUCUGAAGUGUGUGAAGAGUCCAUCGCUGUUGGAACCGUGAAGCACGAGGGGAAUAUCAAAUACGUGAACGACGUGAGGAACAUCACAAAGAAAAAUAUUGAAGAAUGGGGCCCAUUUGACUUGGUGAUUGGCGGAAGCCCAUGCAACGAUCUCUCAAAUGUGAAUCCAGCCAGGAAAGGCCUGUAUGAGGGUACGGGCCGGCUCUUCUUUGAAUUUUACCACCUGCUGAAUUACUCACGCCCCAAGGAGGGUGAUGACCGGCCGUUCUUCUGGAUGUUUGAGAAUGUUGUAGCCAUGAAGGUUGGCGACAAGAGGGACAUCUCGCGGUUCCUGGAGUGUAAUCCAGUGAUGAUUGAUGCCAUCAAAGUUUCUGCUGCUCACAGGGCCCGAUACUUUUGGGGCAACCUACCUGGGAUGAACAGGCCCGUGAUAGCAUCAAAGAAUGAUAAACUCGAGCUGCAGGACUGCUUGGAAUACAAUAGGAUAGCCAAGGUAAGACGAGCUGUGGCCCUCUGGAAAAAUGCACUUGGUGACCUCCAAGUGGGGACUUGGGAGAUGACCUUGGUGUCUGAUUGGUUCCUACACCUCCCCCCACGUGACUUCCUGGUGUUGGGCUUCUUUCUCCCACACAAUUGUUCUGUGCCAUCCUCAAAUACAGAGACCAGGAGACAUUUGUGAUAAGUAAUCACUACGAGGAAAGGCAACUAAUCUUUCUAAUUUUAGUACUGGAUACAUAAAGACACAGAGAAUUUCAGCUGGCCCUCAGGGAGAAAGGAAUCAUUAAUCCUUUUGCCAAAAAAUGAAUUUGCUGUCAAGUCAUAGAAUAUGAAGACCUCCAUAAACCUAAAUCUCAAUGUUUGCAUCAAGCUAAGAUCCAUUUUCUAAACUCCAGUUGAGCAUUCUCUGUAUCUGGGUGGUUUUUACUUUUUACUUAAUCUUGCUUGAUCAGGAACUCUGGUGUCUUCUUGGCCCCACCACGUGAUCUCAUUCAUGGUCACUUUUUUGUUUAUCUCAUUUUCUCUGAGGCUGGUCCUUCCUGUUAACGUCUUGGCAUUUGUGGGAAGCACAAAAUGUUCUUGUCCCUCCAACUCUGCUUUCCGCUCCCAGCCCUGCCAUUCCUUUCCCGCGCCUGCCCUCUCCCUUCCAUCUUUCCCAGGUACUUUUUUCUCCCAGCCCUGCCACUCUUCUGCCGCGCCUGCGCUCUCCCCUCCAUCUUUCCCAGGUACUUUUUAGCCUUGACCCCACCCAGGUCCCUUCAUUCUGUGCUCACUCCAUGAUGUCGUUUUGUUCUCCAGUUAAAGAAAGUACAGACAAUAACCACCAAGUCGAACUCGAUCAAACAGGGGAAAAACCAACUUUUCCCUGUUGUCAUGAAUGGCAAAGAAGAUGUUUUGUGGUGCACUGAGCUCGAAAGGUGAGCAAGGCUGCACUUGGAGAGGGAAACUGUGCAGAUCAAAACACAAAUGGGCAGACAUGGGCAGGUGCUUACCUUCAUUCUUGAUGGCCUCACUGCCCUUUGGUGUUACUGGGGCGAGGAGUAAUAAUACCUUUUCAUAGUUCGCCCUUAUUUCCUGACAAAAAUGGCGGAGGGGGUGUGGUGGUGGUGAGGAAUCUGAGACAUGAGGUCAUUAGGCCGCACCAUCUGUCUGUUGGCUGCACUGCCCUGACAUCUGCCUGUCCCAACACGCUGGGACACUACGAUGUAUGAGAAGCCAGUGAAAGAAAACUCCACAGACAUGCCAUUCUUGAAGACUUCAGUUUGCUCAUUCUAUAAAUGAUUCCUUCUUAGCCACAGUUUAUCCUCUCCUUCCCUUUCUUUGGGCUAAGUUUGUCUGUUUUGAUGCAAAUAACCAUCUCUUGGAUUUCAGUUCUGUUUUUUCUUUCACUCCUCUGUUUGUUCAUUUUGCUUCUCCUAUUUUUUAAAAAUCAUUAUUUGCUAUAGUGAUGUAAUUAAGGUUUUGAACAUUCCUCUUUACAUGUGUUCUGUAUUCUGAAGGCUUUGAUACAGAGUGUUUUCAUUCCAAAUAUUUCACUUCUACAACUCGUUUACUUUCUACUUUGACUUACCAACAGUUAUAUAACAGAGUAUAAAAGUAACUUCUGAUUAGUAUUUAUGCUGUAGAUUUUUCUGUAUGGACCCAUACCUAAAAUGGUUGGUGCAGAUGGCUGACAUUGUGUAGACGCUAAAGCCAAGCAAGACACAGGCCUGAGGUAUCACAUCUUUGGCAUGUUUCUGAAUAACCCACGCAACCAUUGGCCUGUUGGGAUGACUCGUAGUAUUGGAUUGUGUACCUGAGUAAUACUGAGGUUCAGCCUCUGUGCCCUCUUUCCAGGCCCGGUAGAAUCCUAUAGAGGAAGCUUUUGGUAUAUUUGAUGCCAUCUGCCUGAAGUCGUCUAGCUCAGUCCUUCAUCCAGCAGCUGGGUUUGAAUAGGGAAGGAAAACUGUGGUUGCUGAGCUGUAAAUUGCCUGAGCCUGUGAUGACUGAAAAUCUAGGCUGUUUUUCAGUGACCUUGUUCCUUAUUAAGGAAGUUGCUUAACUUCUCCCAUCAUAGUGUUUUGAAGAUGGAGACAUUGCUGGCUGGCUAAUUUGGUAUGCAUGCAUUUAUUCAAGGAAGGUCCUCUGAGCACCAACUCUAUGCCAAGAGUAUGGUGUUAGGCCUGCACAAAAUGGGGGACUUUGAUUUGUGAGCAAUUUGUGAGCAAGUGUUCUGAAUUAAGGGCUCUGAAUUUAGGUCCUGGGGACCUUACUGAUGGGACUGAGGGAUGGCGAGGGCAGAAGGAGUGGGACCUGGCUGGUUGAGGCUGUCAGCAUCCUGGAGGCACUUCUGACUCGCUGUCUUUUUACUCCGGUACCCCCAGGAUCUUUGGCUUCCCUGUGCACUACACAGACGUGUCCAACAUGGGCCGCGGUGCCCGCCAGAAGCUGCUGGGAAGGUCCUGGAGCGUGCCUGUCAUCCGACACCUCUUCGCCCCUCUGAAGGACUACUUUGCAUGUGAAUAGUUCCAGCCAGGCCCCAAGCCCACUGGGGUGUGUGGCAGAGCCAGGACCCAGGAGGUGUGAUUCCUGAAGGCAUCCCCAGGCCCUGCUCUUCCUUAGCUGUGU